rnacentral:rRNA from 1 species
GACAGAGGGGGCAAGCGUUGCUCGGAAUUACUGGGCGUAAAGGGCGCGUAGGCGGGAUGGCAAGUCGGUCGUGAAAUCCCUCGGCUCAACCGAGGAACGUCGAUCGAUACUGCUGUUCUUGAGGAUUGCAGAGGAGACUGGAAUUCCCGGUGUAGCGGUGAAAUGUGUAGAGAUCGGGAGGAACACCGGUGGCGAAAGCGGGUCUCUGGGCAAUUCCUGACGCUGAGGCGCGAAAGCGUGGGGAGCAAACGGG